UUAGUACUCCCUUCGUCCGGAAAUAUUUGUCAUCAAAAUGGAUAAAAAUGGAUGUAUCUAGAUGUAUUUUAGUUCUAGAUAUAUUUCUCUUUACUUAUUUUGAUGACAAGUAUUUUCGGACGGAGGAAGUAUUAU
rfam:Triticum aestivum genome assembly, contig: Triticum_aestivum_CS42_TGACv1_scaffold_159116_2DL